AACGAACGCUGGCGGCAUGCCUAACACAUGCAAGUCGAACGAGACCUUCGGGUCUAGUGGCGCACGGGUGCGUAACGCGUGGGAACCUGCCCUUAGGUUCGGAAUAACUCCCCGAAAGGGGUGCUAAUACCGGAUAAUGUCUUCGGACCAAAGAUUUAUCGCCUUUGGAUGGGCCCGCGUUGGAUUAGCUAGUUGGUAGGGUAAAAGCCUACCAAGGCGACGAUCCAUAGCUGGUCUGAGAGGAUGAUCAGCCACACUGAGACUGAGACACGGCCCAGACUCCUACGGGAGGCAGCAGUGGGGAAUAUUGGACAAUGGGCGAAAGCCUGAUCCAGCAAUGCCGCGUGAGCGAUGAAGGCCUUAGGGUUGUAAAGCUCUUUUACCCGGGAUGAUAAUGACAGUACCGGGAGAAUAAGCUCCGGCUAACUCCGUG
rnacentral:rRNA from 1 species